UCAAAAGUAUAAUUUUUUUUUAGAGAGAAAUCGGAUAAUUAAGGAUAGAAGUGAUUAUUUUUUUAUAUAGAAUAAAUAUCAGAAAAUUGUUAAGUUAAUGAGGUAAUUGAUACUUCUAUUUUUAAAAUUUUAUAUGUAAAACGUAAAAAUUUAUUACAUAGAGAAAAAAAUAAAUUAUUUAAACUACAUGUAAAAUAUAAAUAAAUUUAACUAAUCAAAAAAUUCAUAAUUAUUAUAUGUAAAAAGAGGAAAAAAAAAGAGGAAAAAAUAGAAGUGAUGAGACAUUUGUAGAAAAAAGAAUUGUGGGUGGGGGACCACUGCUAUAAAAAAGUUAAGAACGUAACUUUUUGUUAUGUUGAACAACUCAUUUUUUAGUAUCUUUUUUAAUUGAUUUGAUAACUCACUGCAUUUUUUUCCUCGAUCAUCAUGUAAAAUGUAAGAAAUUCUUAUGUUUUAUAUUUUUUUAUAAAAUGUAAGAAUUUUUUACGUUUUACAACAAAAAAAUUUAAAACAUAAGAAAUUGUAAAAGUCAACUCCGUUAAUUGAUCGUUAAGAAAAAAAUAGAAAAGGUAAUAAAUUAUUACGUUUAGUCUAUUUUGGUAACUUUUUAAAUAGGUAACCUAUUUUUGAUCACUUUUUAAAUUCUGUGGCUCAUUUUGAUUCUGAGUUCACAUAUAUCUUAUCUAUUUAAAUAAUUCCAAUAGAUGAGUCAUAUGUUGCAACAAUUUAGUCAUCUGUUGCAACAUAUAUCUAUAUUUGUUGGAUAAUUUUCAAUAGAUGAGUUAGCUAUUGCAACAGGUUAGUUAUCUGUUGCAACAUAUGUGUAUAUAUGUUUGGUCAUUUUCAACAAAUGUCUUUAACUGUUUGAUUUUUUCAACAGAUUACUCAUCUAUUGCAAAAUAUUAAUUGAAAUCGUAAUUGAACUUAUCAAUUUAUCUUUAAUUUUAGUUAAAUCAAUGUUGUUAUUACUAAUAAUGUCUUAAUUUGAAUCAUUUCAAAUAAAAUUGAUCAAUUAACAUUUUACUCAAGACGAAUACACUUAGAUGAUCAUGUAAUUACUAUGAGAUUAAUUGAAAUCGUAAUUAAAUUAUCAAUUCAUCUUUAAUUUUAGUUAAAUCAAUUUAGUUAUUACUAAUAAUUACUUAAUUUUAAUUAUUUCAAAUCAAAUUGAUCAAUUGAUCAUUCUACUUAAGACGAAACACUUAGUUGAUCAUGUAAUUACUAUAAAAUUAAUUGAAAUUGUAAGUGAACUUACUAAUUCAUCUUUAAUUUUAGUUAAAUUCAUAUAGUUAUUUCUAAUUAUGGCUUGGUUUAAAUCAUUUCAAAUAAAAUUGAUCAAUUGAUCACUCUACUCAGGACGAACACACUUAGUUGAUCAUGUAAUUACCAUUAGAUUAAUUGAACUUAUUAACUAGUUAAAUCAAUUUAGUUAUUACUAAUAAAAUGACUUAAUAUGAAUCAAUAGAUGACUAAGAUGUUGCAAAAGAUGAGUAAUCUAUUAAAAAUGACCAAACAGAUAAAGACAUCUGUUGCAAUAGAUUAGUCACCUAUUGCAACAGAUUAGUAAUCUGUUGGAAUUAACAAAUAGAUAAAGUCAUAUGUUGCAACAGAUUGAUCAUCUUUUGUAAAUGACCAAUAUAUAAAGACAUUUGUUACAACAGAUGACGGAUCUAUUGCAACAUAUGUGUAUAUCUAUUCAAUAAUUUUUAAGAAAUGACUCAUCUUUUACAACAGAUUAAAUCUAUUGCAAUAGGCUAUACGUUUAAAUGAUCAUGUAAUUACUAUGAGAUUAAUUGAAAUUGUAAUUAUUAAAUCAAUUUGGCUAUUAGUAAUAAUGAUUGUUUUGUGAAAGAGAGUCGCCACUUAAUUUUGAAAAGGAAAUAAGAAACCUUUAGGGAGUUACUUCAAAUGAUUCAAAACAGAAAAAUCAUUUUAAGUUUGAAGAUUUUGAAUAAGUGGUUCCUAUUAUCAUUUUAGGAAGGUGUUAGGCACCUAAAACGUCCGCUAACUUGCGGUUAUCCAAUCUAUUUGAAAACGUUCUAUUGACUAACUUUGAAAAAUCGAUUUGUUGGAGAAGUAGUUGAUUACUGAGAAGUUUUUUGCAAAAUCAAUUUUUUAGCGACUUAGUUAGGGAGUUAACUAGAUUCGAACACAGCAAAUAAAAUAACGAAAGGGAAAUAGAGGAAGAAAUAAAUUAUUUAGGCCUUCAUGCCCAAAUCCGUCACCCUGUCCUAGUCUAGAUAUUGAGCUUUCGGCUCGUCUUCCACCUGUCCUAGUCUAUAUUUCGAGCCUUUGCCUCGAGUAUCGCUCCACCUGUAUUAAAUCUACAACUUUGACUUCGAGGCCCAAAUGGAUGAAUAAAUAAAUAAAUAAAUAAAUAAACAAACAAGUAAAUAAAACAACGAAUGAGACUUUUGAGCCUCUUAACCGCUCCAACGGUAGGCAAAAAUUUAUUGUCCUUCUUCGUUAACCUCUCAGAUCUGCGUACUGCGUACUAUGAGGUCCUUGUUUCAAGAUUUUUAAUAAUCGGCUCAUGAGGAAUGGGCCUCAUUGACCCCCAUUAAUAAUGCAAGCAACAGCAGUAAUAGGGUCCAUUUGGACUCACAAAGCGGGUUCAUGCAAAGAAGAUGUAAAAAUAAGGAUGAGGAAACAAUUCAACUAAAAGAACUUAAGAAAGAAUUUGAACCGAUACACGAACACUGCAAAAUGACAACCAAUAGUUCAAUCCAUAUAAACAUAAUAGUAAUUUCAUUCGACAUGCAGGAAACCAAUUAGAUAGAGUGCUUGACAGAGCAUUAAAAUAUAUUUUAAUGGUGUAAUGUCAUAAGAUCCAGAGGAAGGGAAAACAUUACGAAAAGGGACCACAUUUGGCAGAAGCAACUACUUACUCUAACAUAUGCCUAACUGCAUUCAAGUUUAUAAAACAAGGGAACAAAAAUAUGACCCACACAUUUGGAAUUAAUUUAAGCAUGAAUAACUAGAAGAAAUUCAGUGGGUACACAAAUACUAUAGCAUCCUAACAACUAACACUUCAAUCGAUUAUCAAGGUGAUACUUAUUUUUAUUCAACAGGCAGAGAACUCCUUACUUGGCGAAACGUCUAGAAGCAACGCUCAAAGAAAUAUGAAAAUGUAUCUGAUGUCCCAUUAGUAUAAUAACAGUGCUAUACAUAACAACAAAGAGCAAAUUAAGGCAAAAGAUACCCAAAUUUGAUACAAGCAAUUCAUUAAACCAACAUAAAUUUAAUUGCACCCCAACUUAUGAGCUUCACAUUAUACUAAUAACGACCAUCAGAAUCACAUCAAAUAUGAGCUACGAACAGAAUGUUGUCAAUCCGAGAUGGGAACAGAAAAUUGAAAGCCAAGGACAGAACUUAGACGAAAGGAAAAGUCCAGAAAGAAACGAUAUAGAAAAUCUGACAAUCUGGACUUGGUAGGCUAUACAGGGAUAUGAUUAAAACACAUCCAGAAACGACCCCAAACAUCCAUCACUUUCUGCAUUAUUACAUAUGGGAAUCAAGAAAACAGAAUCAUACUUCCCUGAGUACGCCCCUACACAUUUUAAGCUUCAGUCUUCUGAACAAAAUCAAACAAGUGAACCAGAACCAACCAAGAUGAAACCAUGAGCAGGGAUUUCUUUAAGAAAAUAACCAGACAACAGACUCUCCACCAUUCAAAAGACCAUACAUCCUCACAACAACCACUAUGUUCAUCUUUUAAACCAACACAGGCCCCCAAUAGACCUCAUAUUCGAACGACCAAACAUCAUUACAGUAAAAUGAGGUGGAAGAAGAGAACGGUAAAUUAAACAGGAUGAGGGAUCUUUACCUGUUCCAGAGCAGCAAGCGGGACGAUAAGCUAUCACUAAAGUUGUCACCACAGGGAAUUGAUGUUGUCGACUCGGGAAUUCCCAAUUAAUCGACUAGCUUCCCAAAAAGAAAUGGACGAGCAAAUUUUUCACGAAAUAAACUUCUUUGAUUUAAGAAAAUUUUUGCUUCAGUUUCUUUCAAAAUCUUGUCUCUAACCUUCUAAUCUUCAACUAAGAUUUCUAACCCCUCCCUGAAAACCCAAAAAGAAAAGAAAGAAAAGAAAAAAAACCCCUUCGAUAACUAACCUCAUCCCUUUUAUAGAGAAAUCGAUGAGGGCUUCCUUUGGGGGUAGAUUAGGGAUUUCGAUGGCGCUUUAUGAGAUUCAAAAAUUGAAAUCCGCCCCCCAAAAAAUCUCAUUUUCAAUUCUAUUUCACAACAAAUCUUGGAUUCCCCCCCCCNNNNNNNNNNNNNNNNNNNNNNNNNNNNNNNNNNNNNNNNNNNNNNNNNNNNCCCCCCCCCAAAGAGAAAUGUGGACCAAUUGAGUUUUAGAAAAACAAACCGUCCUCCAGAACCAAUGAGAAUCAUCCACAUAUGUACGAAAUCGUACUACUGUUACCGUAUUUCACGGGAUUGAGCCGUUGAGGGGAGACAGCUAGGCCUAUCUUAGAAGGUUUCAGAACCUUUCUCGUACACAGUCGCGUGGAAGGGCACGCGAUGAGGAAGAAAAGAGGAUUGGAGCUCGAGUUGGCAUUAUUGGGGACGGGUUUCAGAGCUGGGUCAGGUCCGAGUUGAGGUCGGGCCGAUGGCGGGUUGGGGGUAUUAUGGUUUUUCCCUUUUGAUUUAGGGUUGAGAGCAAAAAAUAUAUGUGGGAUAGGUCGGGUGAAGGAUUUGAUGGGUCGGGUCUGUUGUAUAUUUUGGGCCAGUGUAGAGGAUGUCUUGGGCCAAUGUUGGGGGGUAUGGUCUAUUGGAC
rnacentral:lncRNA from 1 species